AGUUAACGCUGGCGGUAGGCCUAACACAUGCAAGUCGAACGGCAGCACAGUAAGAGCUUGCUCUUACGGGUGGCGAGUGGCGGACGGGUGAGGAAUACAUCGGAAUCUACUUUUUCGUGGGGGAUAACGUAGGGAAACUUACGCUAAUACCGCAUACGACCUACGGGUGAAAGCAGUGGAUCUUCGGACCUUGCGCGAUUGAAUGAGCCGAUGUCGGAUUAGCUAGUUGGCGGGGUAAAGGCCCACCAAGGCGACGAUCCGUAGCUGGUCUGAGAGGAUGAUCAGCCACACUGGAACUGAGACACGGUCCAGACUCCUACGGGAGGCCGCAGUGGGGAAUAUUGGACAAUGGGCGCAAGCCUGAUCCAGCCAUACCGCGUGGGUGAAGCAGGCCUUCGGGUUGUAAAGCCCUUUUGUUGGGAAAGAAAAGCAGCAGGUUAAUACCCCGCUGUUCUGACGGUACCCAAAGAAUAAGCACCGGCUAACUUCGUG
rnacentral:rRNA from 1 species